CCGUAUCUGCAUCAAUCGGUGCGUAUCAGGUCGGUAUCAAUACAAUACAUAUAUUUUUAAUAAUUUUUUUGAGUGCUGAUGAAUAUCAUACGAUACUCUCAGAUUUUCAUUGAUAUGUAUCGAUGCUCUGGUUAAUGAUGUACGAUUGAGCCCCGAACAAUUGAAUUACAUGUGUAUCAGUUCAUAUCGAACCGUAUCGAUCCAAUACUUAACAAUACUCACUGAUGCUCAUUGAUACUCGCCAAUACUCAUCAAUACUCAUUGAUACUUGAGAUACGUAUUUACAAAACCUAUUUUAAUUUCGAAAUAGAGUUUGUUUCUUCUCGUUGGCAAUACUUAAGUUUCAAAAAUUUGAAGCGCAACUGCACUACCCAACAGAUUUCACAAUUUUGAUUUACCAUUUUUUCAUAUCUCCUUGUCAUAAAUUAUGGCAUCCUCAUGUUGAUCAUCUGCUGCAAUUUACAUUUGUCGAGUCCUUGCAGCCAGGUAAGUAUCUUCCGUUUGAUUUCUCCAUUCCAUUUAAUUCUUAAUUUCUAUAAAAAUCAUGACGACAACUAGUGUCAUCAUUUCCAUUUAAUGUUAUUUGCCCUUACAAUAAGCUUAGCAUGUUGAUCCUUCCAUGAAAUUGAACGUUGUAUCUCAUGUCAUGAUUGCUCAAGUUUUUGAGUUUGUCACGUGAUGCACAAGAAAAUGCAUAGAGCACAUAUGGGAACUAUCUAGUCAGGGACUUGGAGCAAGUGUAGGAAGCAUCUAUAUUCCUUGACUAACCAGAAAUUUUCCAGCAUGGUAGCAUAUCUAUUAUAUCUUUCACCAUUGUCUUUCCUAGCACUUCUACCAUUAUUUUUACCUGACUAUUUUAUGUGUUUCUUAACAAAAAAUAUUCCGAGAUGCACCCUUGGUAUGAUCUCUCUGUUGAAUUUUGAUCUCCUCUUAAAAGAAAGUAGUUGGAGGUGCUUCUCUCUCUUCUCUGUCUCUCUCGUUGUGCAUAUGGUACCCUUCCUAGGAAACACUUCAACUUCAGCUGGAUGGCAAGGUCAAAUAAUUAAGUUUAAUGUGAUCUUGGCCCUGUGAGCAUGUGGCACAAUUUUACAAGUGGUACAUCUACAACAUUAGUAUAAAUGAUUAGAAAUUGAUCCAGUUAUUGCAAUCCCUUUUUCAGUGUUCUAGUCGUAUUUUUUGUAAGUAGCUGGAUGGUAAGAUCAAACAAUUAAGUUUGUUUUACUUCUUUUUUUGCUAUGUUUGAGUAGAUAUAAGUAAAAUAAACUAAAACAUUGCAUCAAACAUGAAUUAUUGCGUCAAUUUGUUCAUAUAUUUUAAAAUUUCUUAGAAAGUCGACAACAAACUAUUACUACAUGUAAGAAACCACAUCAUUUAUAACAAUUUCAAUUGAAUGCACUUGUCUCUCAAUAUGGUGUUUUCCAUUUUAGUUUUUAUGUAUGAUACAUGUUAUAUAUUGCUUUUUUAUACUAUUUUUUUAAUAAAAAAUGUAUAAAAAUGUGUAUCUUGUCCUUUUUAGCGUUUCUCGGAUAUCAUAUGAUACGCUCCGAUACUUAUCUUAAAGUUACCUAACCAAUACGAUGACCGAUAUAGUGAUUGAUGCCGAUACUUUAAUCCUUGCCCCCACCCAUCUUUGAGUUCGAGACUCUGUGUGUGCCUCAUAGUGGCCACCAUAUUGAAAUUUGGGAUUCUGGGUAAUAGUCACAUCCAUGUCCUCGACUUCCCACCACAGAGCCUUCACCUCAUCAACACAGAAGUAGUUUACUAUUCCUGAGUUGUCAAUGGCACCAGUAUCGAGCCUGUAUUUCUUUGACAUUUGUCACGAGUCACAACCCAAACAAUUAACGACCUCUCCUUGCUAUUAAAUUUCUUUUGCUUGCUUCUUAUUUCUCUCUCUUUCCUUCUCUCUUAUUCUACUACUGAAAAAUGCCCGGGUUGUUACUUGUUACUAUUAACAGCUUUGAAAAACUUCCUCCGAAAGGCGAUAAUCGUUGCAAAAGGUGAUGGCUGAUCAAACCUAUUAGCAUUGCCAUUGGGGCUGGUGGCCAAUCACAGAUAUUGCAUUGACAAUUGCUUUGAGAAUGUAACUGAAGCAUCAGGCAAGUUUGUAUGCCGUUCCUAUCAGGUUGUGUACUUGAAGGUCUAUGUAAGCGUUAUCGAUUAGGGAAGGGAGAAUGGGAGAGAACAGAGAAGUGGUGAGUGAUGGCGAGAUGGGAGAGAGAAAAGACAGAAUUGUUUACACAAUGUUACCAAACACGUUUAUAUCUUGUAGAAGUACUCCCAGAGAACAAAAAACAAAAAACACUUCUGAUUCAGAAACAAUUCUGCAUAAUGGAAACAUUAUCAUACAUGCCCUUGGUGGUUGUCAUAUUGGCAUUCAUGCUGUUUAUGCUGGCUGUGAUGCCACAGUCAGUUUUUAGAAUCAGUUUUAUUCUCUUUCCUUUACUAGUACUCCUUUAACCUUGAUUUUGCAUCAGAUAAGCCUCAAUCCCUUAUUACUCAAAAAAUAGAUGGAAGCAAAUAAAAUGGAUUGCACAAAGUUCACACGGAAAUUUCUUCUAAAUCUUUGGGGUUUCCAGAAAAAUAGCUUCAGGGGCCUUGUAUGUGGCUCCUGUCCACAGGCAAUGCUUAUCUGCUAUGUGAAAACUGAUUUGACCCUCUUCACUGUUGUCUGGAGAUGUUGUUAUUUGAAUUACUCACUUGUCAAUUUUUGUGGUCCAGCUUAACCAUUUGGCCCAUCAUAUACUGAACUUUUGCUUUGUAUUUCAACACUCAAGUUGAAGCAGAAUCUUAGUUCCUGCGACAGCAUCAUAGAAGAAGGAAGUCAUCACACCAUGUUCUGGUUCUCUGUCAACCAUUUUAUGCAAUAAAUUAUCACAUUUGGGUCAGAAAUUGAAGGAUUGGAACAAAUACACAAGUUAUGGUUUUCUGAGGAAAGUAGGCUUCUAGCAGAAUUGAAGCGUUCUAUUACUCAAGAAGAAUGGCUAUGGGAGCAGAAGGCUCGGAUUAAUUGGGUCCGACAAGGUGAUGCCUGCACGAGGACCUGCGGGAAUUGGAGGCAUUUUCAGAGAUUCUAAUGGCAACUUCAUCACACUGAUUUGCAAAAUAUAUUGGGCUGAACUUCGCUUAUGUUGCAGAAGAGUUGGCGAUUAGGCAGGGCCUUCAAAUUGCCAGGUCUAAAGGUUUCUCCAAUAUCAUUAUUGAAGGAGAUUGUGCUCUUACUAUCAAUAUCUUAAAGGGUUACAUCACUAGUAUCCCUUGGCGUAUUCAGCACAUUAUCCGUGACUGCACUCAACUUGUCAAUGAUUUUCAAUCGGUCUCCUUUAUCCUUAUAUAUCGGGAAGGGAAUUGAGCAGCUGAUGCCCUUGCAUCCUUUGGUGUUAAUCAUCAAUUUUUUGUUCUCUGGAACAACAUUCUUCCUUCUUUUCUUUCUCAUGUUUUGUUAGAUGACUACAGGGGAGUGUCUUUCCCUCGGUUUGUAUCUUCUUCCCCCUAUCUUAAU